rnacentral:rRNA from 1 species
ACGGGAUCAGUUGUAGCAAUACGACUGUGAGAGUGGCGCACGGGUGCGUAACACGUAUGCAACCUACCUUAAACUGGGGAAUAGCCCCUCGAAAGAGGGAUUAAUACCGCAUAACGAGGCGUGUAGGCAUCUACACUCCUCUAAAACUCCGGUGGUUUAAGAUGGGCAUGCGGCUGAUUAGCUAGUUGGUGAGGUAAUGGCUCACCAAGGCUACGAUCAGUAGGGGGUCUGAGAGGAUGUCCCCCCACACUGGUACUGAGACACGGACCAGACUCCUACGGGAGGCAGCAGUAGGGAAUAUUGGACAAUGGGGGAAACCCUGAUCCAGCCAUGCCGCGUGCAGGAUGACUGCCCUAUGGGUUGUAAACUGCUUUUGUACGGGAAGAAACCACAUUACGUGUAAUGUGUUGACGGUACCGUGAGAAUAAGGAUCGGCUAACUUCGUGCCAGCAGCCGCGGUAAUACGAAGGAUCCUAGCGUUGUCCGGAUUUACUGGGUUUAAAGGGUGCGUAGGCGGACUUUUAAGUCAGUGGUGAAAGCCUGCAGCUUAACUGUAGAAUUGCCAUUGAAACUGAAAGUCUCGAGUGUGGUUGAGGUAGCUGGAAUGUAUCAUGUAGCGGUGAAAUGCUUAGAUAUGAUACAGAACUCCAAUCGCGAAGGCAGGCUACUAAACCAUAACUGACGCUGANGCACGAAAGCGUGGGGAUCAAACAGGAUUAGAUACCCUGGUAGUCCACGCCCUAAACGUUGCAUACUCGGUUUUGGCGAUAUACAGUCAGGACCCAAGCGAAAGCGUUAAGUAUGCCACCUGGGAAGUACGAUCGCAAGAUUGAAACUCAAAGGAAUUGACGGGGGCUCGCACAAGCGGAGGAGCAUGUGGUUUAAUUCNAUGAUACGCGAGGAACCUUACCUGGGCUUGAAUGUGAGUGACCGCUGCCGAAAG